CAAUAGCGUAUAUUAAAGUUGUUGCGGUUAAAAAGCUCGUAGUUGGAUUUCUGUUGGGAACGACCGGUCCGCCCAUUGGGUGUGUAUCUGGCUUGUUCUCGGCAUCUUCUUGGUGAACGUUGCUGCACUUGACUGCGUGGAGCGCUACCCAGGACUUUUACUUUGAGGAAAUUAGAGUGUUUCAAGCAGGCAUAUGCCUUGAAUACAUUAGCAUGGAAUAAUAAGAUAGGACCUCGGUUCUAUUUUGUUGGUUUCUAGAGCUGAGGUAAUGAUUAAUAGGGAUAGUUGGGGGCAUUCGUAUUUAACUGUCAGGGGUGAAAUUCUUGGAUUUGUUAAAGACGGACUACUGCGAAAGCAUUUGCCAAGGAUGUUUUCAUUGA
rnacentral:rRNA from 1 species